rnacentral:rRNA from 1 species
CGGAGAGUUUGAUCCUGGCUCAGAUUGAACGCUGGCGGCAUGCCUUACACAUGCAAGUCGAACGGCAGCGCGGGAGCAAUCCUGGCGGCGAGUGGCGAACGGGUGAGUAAUACAUCGGAACGUGCCCAAUCGUGGGGGAUAACGCAGCGAAAGCUGUGCUAAUACCGCAUAAGAUCUACGGAUGAAAGCAGGGGAUCGCAAGACCUUGCGCGAAUGGAGCGGCCGAUGGCAGAUUAGGUAGUUGGUGAGGUAAAGGCUCACCAAGCCUUCGAUCUGUAGCUGGUCUGAGAGGACGACCAGCCACACUGGGACUGAGACACGGCCCAGACUCCUACGGGAGGCAGCAGUGGGGAAUUUUGGACAAUGGGCGAAAGCCUGAUCCAGCCAUGCCGCGUGCAGGAUGAAGGCCUUCGGGUUGUAAACUGCUUUUGUACGGAACGAAACGGCCUUUUCUAAUAAAGAGGGCUAAUGACGGUACCGUAAGAAUAAGCACCGGCUAACUACGUGCCAGCAGCCGCGGUAAUACGUAGGGUGCAAGCGUUAAUCGGAAUUACUGGGCGUAAAGCGUGCGCAGGCGGUUAUGUAAGACAGUUGUGAAAUCCCCGGGCUCAACCUGGGAACUGCAUCUGUGACUGCAUAGCU